rnacentral:rRNA from 1 species
UACGGGGGAGCAAGCGUUGUUCGGAUUUACUGGGCGUAAAGGCGCGUAGGCGGUCAGCACAAGUCAGUUGUGAAAUCUCCGGGCUUAACUCGGAAAGGUCAACUGAUACUGUGCGACUAGAGUGCAGAAGGGCAACUGGAAUUCUCGGUGUAGCGGUGAAAUGCGUAGAUAUCGAGAGGAACACCUGCGGCGAAGGCGGGUUGCUGGGCUGACACUGACGCUGAUGCGCGAAAGCCAGGGAGCGAACGGG